UAUCUUCAAGCUUUGCCAAAUACUGGAACUUAUGAACCUGGCAUUACUUUUAUUUCCAUCUCACAGUGCUCCUUUGGGUAAUAACUUAGUGUCUCUCAGCCCGUUGGUUCCAGCACUAAAAGCACAAACUGCCAGCCAACCAGAUUACAAAUUCAUUCAUGUAUCUGCUGAUACUCGUCAUUUCGAACCUGAAGCUUGUAUUAAACAACAAACAGCAAAUGUUACACAACAGAAAAUUUGGAUCAUCCGAAGAGGCUUGUUUGCUCAAUGGGCUCACAUAAUAGCAGAGUUGCCCCUACAUGGAGUUGAAUCUACACUGAAGGCAAAUGUAGUACAGAGCCAUGGUAAUAGUGCUGGAGUUGCAGAUGAGUAGAUCCCAUGGUGCAAAUUCAGCUGAGUGCUAAUGCUGUGCAGAGAAUUGUUAAAGGUAGAGCUGGAGGUCUCUUGGUGCAGAUGAAAAUGCAGAACAGUACGAAUCAACAAGUGUGUUAUACUGGAAUUUAACCAAUGGCAUCUGGUCAGUCAAGGCCUCAGCAGCUUCAACACCCGCUAAACUUCCAGAAAUUUCAAAAAUUGCUGCAUAUUGAGCAACAGAGGCUAUGCUUGAAGUCAAAAUGCUCUACCGAACACUGUUACAAGAGCUGGAGUUGCGUGUUGCGUGAUGCAGUCUCAAAUGCAGAAGAGCGCUAAUCAAUAGCCAUUGAAUGCCGCAGUUCGUCCAAUGGCAUCUGGUAAUAUGAGGCCUAGGCACCUUUAAAACUUCCAACAACCACAGCAUGUGCGGUAUCAUAAACCACAGAAAAGACAUAACGAAAAAGUCGAAGAGAACGCGGAAGUUUCUGAGACGUACGCUGAUUACCUACCACCCGUCAAAAUUACACGGAAAGAUCCAGAUCUGGUUUUGGAAACCGCGUCGCAUUUACCAUUGGCAGCUGUAGCUGAUCGUCCAAUCGUCAGUGCCAAAAUGAUCAAUCAAGAGCAAAGGUUUGCAUUUUUGAAGAAGAAAAAGGAGAAGAAAAUGCAGAAGAAGAUACAGAAGAAGGUGGAGAAAAAGAAAGCGGAAGAAGCAGCUGAAGCUGCCACUCGUAUCCUGAUAAGAAACCAUUAUGGCAGGAAUGACAACGAUCUAUACGGCGAAAAGGAUGACUUCAUGACCAAAUGGGUCUAAAAGCAGCUACCUGUAGUUUAACGGGAAAAAUUCGAAAUAAGACGCUUUUGCAGCAAAAUUUCCUCAAGAAAAAUUUAAGAGUAUGCCGUGAGCCUUGCUUAACUAAAAUGCGUUGUGUUUUGUGUGGGUCAUGCACAACUCGCGCAAAACCCAGGCUUUUGGUGUAAUUUAAGCAGUAGGACUGCAGAUGUUUAUUUUCAUCUGUUAUCUUCUGUCAAUUUCACUCUGCUGCUGGAAAUGCUUGUGGCGAUCUGAGUUCGUGUGAAAGGUUUUUUUGUGCAAAGAUUGUAGGAUGUGUCAAAAUUUAUUGAACAAGGAUAAACAGGUUGAAAACCAUGCGUUCAAAAUCUUUAAACCAGUUUUGUAACUUGAAUAAUUUGGAUCCCUAUCACGCUGGACUGGACUUUAGUGCAACUUAAUUGACUACCUUGAUAGAUAUAAUUCUGUUUUCUAAUGAAGUAAGAGCUCUCUGAAUUUUUUACACCCAUUUUUGUCAUAUUAGGUUAGCGAGUGUAGUUUAUGGAAGAACUCAAUUGAACCUA